rnacentral:rRNA from 1 species
ACGGGUGAGUAACGCGUGGGUAUCUGUCUCUGGGUGGGGGAUAACGGUGGGAAACUACCGCUAAUACCGCAUGACACCUGAGGGUCAAAGGCGCAAGCCGCCUGGAGAGGAGCCCGCGUACGAUUAGCUAGUUGGCGGGGUAAAGGCCCACCAAGGCGACGAUCGUUAGCUGGUCUGAGAGGAUGAUCAGCCACACUGGGACUGAGACACGGCCCAGACUCCUACGGGAGGCAGCAGUGGGGAAUAUUGGACAAUGGGCGAAAGCCUGAUCCAGCAAUGCCGCGUGAGUGAAGAAGGUUUUCGGAUUGUAAAGUCCUUUCGGCGGGGACGAUGAUGACGGUACCCGCAGAAGAAGCCCCGGCUAACUUCGUGCCAGC